rnacentral:rRNA from 1 species
UUGAAAGGGAAACGAUUGAAGUCAGUCGUACCCGACGGACAAUCAGCCUUUUGAGUGCGAUUCUGUGGGGCAUGAGGAGGAAACCCUCAUGUUUUCAUAUUUGUGCUCUUUGGGUGUAUUUGUUCGUAUGGUGGGUUAACAUCAAUUUUGGUCGUCAUAAAAUGACGGGAGGAAUGUAGCUUUGGUCUCGUAUUGAAGUGUUAUAGCCUCUGGUAGAUGUGACGACCGGGAUUGAGGAUUGCAACGGAUACCCCUCGGGGCUACUCGCCUGAUCUCUGAUCGUUACUCUGGUGCCGAAAGCUUGCUUAUGUCAUCAAUGUUGAUGGUCAAAAUGUUAUAUCUGGUUUAAUUCGUUAUUGAUGUUGACGUA